rnacentral:rRNA from 1 species
UACGAAGGGGGCUAGCGUUGUUCGGAGUUACUGGGCGUAAAGGGCGCGUAGGCGGCGCAUCAAGUCAGGCGUGAAAGCCCUGGGCUCAACCCGGGAAUUGCGCUUGAGACUGGUGUGCUCGAGUACGGGAGAGGAUAGUGGAAUUCCCAGUGUAGAGGUGAAAUUCGUAGAUAUUGGGAAGGACCCCCGGUGCCAAGGCGGCUAUCUGGGCCGUAACUGACGCUGAGGCGCGAAAGCGUGGGGAGCAAACAGG